GCGGAUGAUGAGAAGGCUGAACUGAGAGGUGAUGAACCCUAUGAGCCCUGACG
rnacentral:snoRNA from 1 species